AUUGAACGCUGGCGGCAGGCCUAACACAUGCAAGUCGAGCGAGCGGCGGACGGGUGAGUAAUGUCUGGGAAACUGCCUGAUGGAGGGGGAUAACUACUGGAAACGGUAGCUAAUACCGCAUACCAUCAGAUGUGCCCAGAUGGGAGUAGCUAGUAGGUGGGGUAACGGCUCACCUAGGCGACGAUCCCUAGCUGGUCUGAGAGGAUGACCAGCCCGACGGUAACUGGGACACGGUCCAGACUCCGAAGGGGGGAGACAGUGUGGAAUAUUGCACAAUGGGGGCAAGCCUGAUGCAGCCAGGCCGCGUGGGUGAAGAUGGCCUUAGGGUUGUAAAGCACUUUCAGCGGGGGGGCGUUACCAGCAGAAGAGGCACCGGCUAACUCCGUGCCAGCAGCCGCGAUAGUAC
rnacentral:rRNA from 1 species